UACAGAGGGUGCAAGCGUUAAUCGGAAUUACUGGGCGUAAAGCGCGCGUAGGUGGUUUGUUAAGUUGGAUGUGAAAUCCCCGGGCUCAACCUGGGAACUGCAUUCAGAACUGACAAGCUAGAGUAUGGUAGAGGGUGGUGGAAUUCCUGUGUAGCGGUGAAAUGCGUAGAUAUAGGAAGGAACACCAGUGGCGAAGGCGACCACCUGGACUGAUACUGACGCUGAGGAGCGAAAGCGUGGGGAGCGAACAGG
rnacentral:rRNA from 1 species